rnacentral:rRNA from 1 species
GCAGCCGCCGCGGUAAUACAGAGGGUGCGAGCGUUAAUCGGAUUUACUGGGCGUAAAGCGUGCGUAGGCGGCUUUUUAAGUCGGAUGUGAAAUCCCUGAGCUUAACUUAGGAAUUGCAUUCGAUACUGGGAAGCUAGAGUAUGGGAGAGGAUGGUAGAAUUCCAGGUGUAGCGGUGAAAUGCGUAGAGAUCUGGAGGAAUACCGAUGGCGAAGGCAGCCAUCUGGCCUAAUACUGACGCUGAGGUACGAAAGCAUGGGGAGCAAACAGGAUUAGAUACCCGAGUAGUCCCUGUCUCUUAUAC